rnacentral:rRNA from 1 species
UUGACCUCGGAUCAGGUAGGGAUACCCGCUGAACUUAAGCAUAUCAAUAAGCGGAGGAAAUCUAC